CAUUCCAUAUAUACGUAUACACAUAUAACAUAUAUAUGCCAUCUAGUAUAAGUAUGUCCCAUGUAAUAGUUGGGACAUAGUUAUGCCAAAGAAAUUAUUCAUUGUUUUUCUGAAUUUCAAAGUGUAUUAAGUGUACUGAUU
rnacentral:miRNA from 1 species